AGGAUGAACGCUGGCGGUCUGCCUAACACAUGCAAGUCGAACGAGUGGCGGACGGGUGAGUAACGCGUGAGAAUCUAGCUCUGGAUGGGGACAACAGCGGGAAACUGCUGCUAAUACCCGAUGAGAUGAGCUCGCGUCAGAUUAGCUAGUUGGUAGGGUAAAAGCCUACCGAGGCGACGAUCUGUAGCUGGUCUGAGAGGAUGAGCAGCCACACUGGGACUGAGACACGGCCCAGACUCCUACGGGAGGCAGCAGUGGGGAAUUUUCCGCAAUGGGCGAAAGCCUGACGGAGCAAGACCGCGUGAGGGAGGAAGGCUCUUGGGUUGUAAACCUCUUUUCUCAGGGAUGAAGGUACCUGAGGAAUAAGCAUCGGCUAACUCCGUGCCAGCAGCCGCGGUAAUACGGAGGAUGCAAGCGUUAUCCGGAAUCAUUGGGCGUAAAGCGUCCGCAGGUGGAGUGGUAAGUCUGUCGUCAAAGAACGGGGCUUAACCCCGUAAAGGCGAUGGAAACUGCCACACUAGAGGCUGGUAGGGGUAGAGGGAAUUCCCAGUGUAGCGGUGAAAUGCGUAGAGAUUGGGAAGAACACCAGUGGCGAAAGCGCUCUACAGGACCAGAACUGACACUCAGGGACGAAAGCUAGGGGAGCGAAAGGGAUUAGAUACCCCUGUAGUCCUAGCCGUAAACGAUGGAUACUAGGCGUAGGUGCCGAAGCUAACGCGUUAAGUAUCCCGCC
rnacentral:rRNA from 1 species